AUAUUAGGUUGGUGCAAAAGUAAUUGCGGUUUUUGCCAUUUUUUUCUUUUUUUUUUAAAGUAAUGGUAAAAACCACAAUUACUUUCGUAACAACCU
rnacentral:miRNA from 1 species